CCUACGGGAGGCAGCAGUAGGGAAUAUUGCUCAAUGGGGGAAACCCUGAAGCAGCAACGCCGCGUGGAGGAUGAAUGUUUUCGGAUUGUAAACUUCUUUUGAUAGAGAAGAAAAUGACGGUAUCUAAUGAAUAAGCACCAGCUAACGACGGGCCAGCAGCCGCGGCAAUCCGGAGGGUGCAAGCGUUAAUCGGAAUCACUGGGGGUAAAGAGCGCGUAGGCUGGAUAGCAAGUCAGAUGUGAAAUCCUAUGGCUUAACCAUAGAACUGCAUUUGAAACUGUUAUUCUAGAGUAUGGGAGAGGUAGGUGGAAUUCUUGGUGUAGCGGUAAAAUGCGUAGAGAUCAAGAAGAAUACUCAUUGCGAAGGCGGCCUGCUGGAACGUAACUGACGCUGAUGCGCGAAAGCGUGGGGAGCAAACAGGAUUAGAUACCCUGGUAGUC
rnacentral:rRNA from 1 species